rnacentral:rRNA from 1 species
UGUGGAGCCGACCUUGAAAUACCACCCUUUAAUGUUUGAUGUUCUAACGUGGACCCGUGAUCCGGGUUGCGGACAGUGUCUGGUGGGUAGUUUGACUGGGGCGGUCUCCUCCUAAAGAGUAACGGAGGAGCACGAAGGUUGGCUAAUCCUGGUCGGACAUCAGGAGGUUAGUGCAAUGGCAUAAGCCAGCUUGACUGCGAGCGUGACGGCGCGAGCAGGUGCGAAAGCAGGUCAUAGUGAUCCGGUGGUUCUGAAUGGAAGGGCCAUCGCUCAACGGAUAAAAGGUACUCCGGGGAUAACAGGCUGAUACCGCCCAAGAGUUCAUAUCGACGGCGGUGUUUGGCACCUCGAUGUCGGCUCAUCACAUCCUGGGGCUGAAGUAGGUCCCAAGGGUAUGGCUGUUCGCCAUUUAAAGUGGUACGCGAGCUGGGUUUAGAACGUCGUGAGACAGUUCGGUCCCUAUCUGCCGUGGGCGCUGGAGAACUGAGGGGGGCUGCUCCUAGUACGAGAGGACCGGAGUGGACGCAUCACUGGUGUUCGGGUUGUCAUGCCAAUGGCACUGCCCGGUAGCUAAAUGCGGAAGAGAUAAGUGCUGAAAGCAUCUAAGCACGAAACUUGCCCCGAGAUGAGUUCUCCCUGAGACUUAGAGUCUCCUGAAGGAACGUUGAAGACGACGACGUUGAUAGGCCGGGUGUGUAAGCGCAGCGAUGCGUUGAGCUAACCGGUACUAAUGAACCGUGAGGCUUAACCUUACAACGCCGAAG